rnacentral:rRNA from 1 species
UCCGUUGUAGCAAUACGAUGGAAAGUCUAGUGGCGAACGGGUGCUUAACACGUGGGCAACCUGCCAAGAAGUGGGGGAUAGCUCGCCGAAAGGCGAAUUAAUACCGCAUGUGAUUAGAGUGGACAUCCAUUCGAAAUUAAAGUCGGGGCAACCUGACGCUUCUUGUGGGGCCCGCGGCCUAUCAGCUAGUUGGCGAGGUAACGGCUCACCAAGGCUUUGACGGGUAGCUGGUCUGAGAGGACGACCAGCCACACUGGGGCUGAGACACGGCCCAGACACCUACGGGUGGCAGCAGUCGAGAAUUUUUGACAAUGGGGGAAACCCUGAUCGAGCGACGCCGCGUGGAGGAUGAAGGUCUUCGGAUUGUAAACUCCUGUCAUUGGGGAACAAUGCGUGACGCUUAACUGCCGUUGCGUUGAUAGUACCCGAAGAGGAAGAGACGGCUAACUCUGUGCCAGCAGCCGCGGUAAUACAGAGGUCUCAAGCGUUGUUCGGAUUCAUUGGGCGUAAAGGGUGCGUAGGCGGCGCGGUAAGUCGGGUGUGAAAUCUCGGAGCUUAACUCCGAAACUGCAUUCGAUACUGCCGUACUUGAGGACUGGAGAGGAGACUGGAAUUCUCGGUGUAGCA